rnacentral:rRNA from 1 species
UACGGUAGGGGGCUAGCGUUGUCCGGAAAUCAUUGGGCGUAAAGCGCGUGUAGGCGGGUCCGGUAAGUCCGCUGUGAAAGUCGGGGGCUCAACCUCGGAUGCCGGUGGAGUACUGUCGGGCUUGAGUACGGAAGAGGCGAGUGGAAUUCCGUGGUGUAGCGGUGAAAUGCGUAGAUAUCGGGAGGAACACCUGUGGCGAAAGCGGCGCACUGGACCACAACUGACGCUGGAGGCGCGAAAGCCUAGGGGAGCAACCAGG